CACCGAGCAGACCGACAGUCAGACCGAGUCCACAGAACACUGCAGGUCCAAUACUGGGUUCAGGCUUCUCCACAUCUGGAGACAGAAAGACACAAACAUUAACACACUGCAGGUCCAAUACUGGGUUCAGGCUUCUCCACAUCUGGAGACAGAAAGACACAAACAUUAACACACUGCAGGUCCAAUACUGGGUUCAGGCUUCUCCACAUCUGGAGACAGAAAGACACAAACAUUAACACACUGCAGCUGCACCUCCACAUCUGGAGACAGAAACAUUAAUGCAGCUACACCUCCACAUCUGGAGACAGAAACAUUAACACACUGCAGCUACACCUCCACAUCUGG